GAUGACAGAUCUGUACCAAGAGGCCUAUGGAGAAUCAUCGCAUGAACAGAUUCCUAAUAGCUCGAAACACCUUCUUACCAAGAUCAAGGCUUUGUAUGCUAAUAAUCCGAAACAUCAUGGAGAAGGCACAAGUUCUAGAAAUAUCUGUGUUCAAACAAGUCAAAUGCGUCAUGGAGAAGGUUCGAAUUCAAGAAAUAACCAUCCUCAAACAAGUCGUAUGCUCCACCAUGAUACAGAGGACGAAGUAUAUGAUUAUGAGCCAACCUCCGGUUUGGUCACGUUGCUGGAUAAAUUGAGCUUAAGAGAGAACCAUAAUGAUGCAAUCACGCAAGACCUAUCUGAUGUUCCACCUGAUGAGAGAACUUUGUUCGUGACAUUUUCUAAUGGCUAUCCACUGACCAAGGAUGAACUACACGAAUUUUUUAUGAGUAGUGGAGGCCUCUGGUUAAGAGGUACGACAUCGACGCCACGGACCUACUCAGCUAUCGCUUCAGGGCUACGUCGAACUCUCUAUCACCAAGGGUGCAAGCUCUAGCUUAGUGGACAUCGUAUCAUCAUUUACUAGUUUUCUUUUGGUACCUGGUUGUUGGCCCGAUUGUCGUUUCUGAACUGUUCCUGUGGGAUUUGUUGGUUGUUGGUUGUUCAGCAACUUGUGAUACUUUUUUAAUGGUUGUAAUCGGUGUUGUGAAUCUCCUUUUGCUUUAUCUAUA